rnacentral:rRNA from 1 species
GACUGCGAUCAUACCAGCACUAAAUUACCGGAUCCUAUCAGAACUCCGAAGUUAAGCGUGCUUGCAUGAGAGUAGUACUAGGAUGGGUGACCUCCUGGGAAGUCCUCGUGUUCCAUCCC